UACAAAUAAUACAUUAACAUAUUAAUUUGCAAAGCUAUAGAAGAAUAUUUUUACAAAAUUAACAUUACUCAGUAGGCUUUGGUGUAUAAACUAUAUAUUCGUAUACGAAGCUUGUGUUUAUUAUAUUCAGUUUCUGCUCUGUAGCACCCAAAGUGACAUCGUUUCAGUUUUUUAUAAAAAAUUAGUAAAGAAAAUGUUGCCUACGAAUAUAUUACAUAUCUACAUUAGAUUAGGAUAAAGAAAAACCCAAGACACAGCUACACAUUUAAAGGCUUUGAUUUGGUUCGAUUUAGUAUUUCCAAUAGUUUUCAUUGAACGUUUACACCAUGGUUAUGCAUCCUGUUGUACUGCUCGAGAGAGAUAUUUGGACCUCUGUUAGAGUCUCAUCAUUACAAUCUGGUUUGUUUAUGUUUUUAUUGUGAUUAGCGUAAUCACAGAAUGGACGUUUUUCAACUCAAGUGUGAUCGGCGGUUAAAUUAAUAAAGUAUAAAUUAAUAAGUAUAAAAA